GGUGGUCCAGUGGCUAGGACUCUAUACUCCCAAUGUAGGGGGCCCAGGUUCAAACCCUGAUC
rnacentral:tRNA from 1 species